GAAAUCACGAUCAUUUUGUGAAUGAUUCACUACUCAUAAAGGAUUAAAUGAACAACUUAUAUUAUUCAGAACUAGUAGCCUGACCAGCUCUAAUUAUGAAGGCUUAGUAAAGAGCUUCAGACCCAGUCCCUGUCUCAUUCACUACUCACCUUUCAGUUUCUGCAACACAAGAAGCAAAGUUCCUAUGCCUUGUCUACACUGCCGGGAUGGAGAAAGGUGUUUUCUUGAGAGCUCUGGAGACUGGCAUCCUCAAUCCACAAGACCAGGCAGUAUGGACAGAGUCUGUAGAAGAUCAUUGCCUCCCCGGUCUUCUUGUAGCCUAUUCUGGAGAAGGGGCUACUUUCCAGAAGUUUCACUCAGAGGACUCAAAGGUACCAUCGGACGAGGACUGUGCAUGCAGCAACUUGCAUAGAACCAACCUCCAUAGAACUUGGAAGGGAGCAGAACAGGUUGAGAGAGGGAAGAAUUUUGAAGAGG